UCUGCCUUCCUGCUGCCAUGCUCCCUGCCAUGAUGAAAACAGACAGUACCUCUGAAACUAUCACUGCCUGCAUUGACACCUGCAGGGUCCCCUCACAGGUAUACAUAGGAGCAGGUGCCUGUGGAAUCCAGAGGGCUUUGAAUUCUCUGGAAAUGGAGUGACAGAUGCCCGGGAGAUGCCUGAUGAGGGUACUGGGAACUGACCUGGAUCUUCUGCAAGAGUAGUAGAAAAAUCCGCAAAGAUGAAGAUCUUGCUUGCUCGGAACUCAGUGUCAGUUAAGCAACUGUUAAUAUUUUAAAUACAGGCUGUCUGGUUCAAGAGCCCAUAUUCCUAAAAAAAUGAAUUAUUAUGUUAAAAUGUGAUUAAAAAAUAAAAAUGUGAU